GGCUCUAUAGAGUAGUGGUUAGCACAUCUGCUUUACACGCAGAAGAGUCUAUGUUCGACCCCCAGCGGAACCA
rnacentral:tRNA from 1 species